rnacentral:misc_RNA from 1 species
CCUCCCUCCGCCGCUCCAAUUCCUGUUAUUUUUAAUCCAUGUUAGUUGAUAGUUGAUACACAAAAAUCCAGUAACAAAAAGACGUUUGUCUAACAGAUAUACAUGAAUAAAUUAUAUAUUUAAAAAAAAAAAUCUAAUAAAACCAGUUGCAUAUGCUCACACUACCUGGUGUGCAGCAAAUUCACAAGUAUACUUGGAAUUAUCAUGUGUGCUGUUUUGAACUUUGGUUUGUAACAGUAAAUUAUAACCCACACAGACCUCAAUUACGGAUCACCACAAUCAGCAUCAUAUUACUCUUCUUCAUGAGAAAUUUUCCACAUUCGCCUUUGUGAUUUGUAUUUUGUAAUCAUUGUUCAUGACAUUUAUGAGUUUUAUUAAAAAAAAAAAAACAAUUCUGUUACUUAUUUUGUUAGUCUGAUCAGAAUCAGCGAAACAUGUGCCAUGUGGUCCUCAUUUAAGUGAUUGCAAGAAAAAGUAAUAUUGAAGAAACAAAGUAAAAUCAUUAAUUCACCGUGAUCAUGUUGACCUACCUUCUACUAUCCUAGGUUAGUGGGUGAAGACUAUUUCUGUACUUGCAGACAAUAAGCACAGCAAAUGAGGCACUUAUAGAGAUCUAAGAACUCCUAUUUCCUUUUGUUUCUAGAAAGAAGUCCACAUCGUGCCAUGGCCUCCACGAGAUGAUUUCACCACUAAAUCAUAAUUGCACAAAACAGAGUAAUAAUAUACAUAUGCAACUCUAUUACAAAUUUACAACUUAUCAUUUCUUUCCAUGGUAAUACCUACCUCCAGAUCCUUGACUGCCUGCU